rnacentral:rRNA from 1 species
GGCGGCUGCCUUACACAUGCAAGUCGAACGGCAGCACGGGUGCUUGCACCUGGUGGCGAGUGGCGAACGGGUGAGUAAUACAUCGGAACAUGUCCUGUAGUGGGGGAUAGCCCGGCGAAAGCCGGAUUAAUACCGCAUACGAUCUACGGAUGAAAGCGGGGGACCUUCGGGCCUCGCGCUAUAGGGUUGGCCGAUGGCUGAUUAGCUAGUUGGUGGGGUAAAGGCCUACCAAGGCGACGAUCAGUAGCUGGUCUGAGAGGACGACCAGCCACACUGGGACUGAGACACGGCCCAGACUCCUACGGGAGGCAGCAGUGGGGAAUUUUGGACAAUGGGCGAAAGCCUGAUCCAGCAAUGCCGCGUGUGUGAAGAAGGCCUUCGGGUUGUAAAGCACUUUUGUCCGGAAAGAAAUCCUUGGCCCUAAUACGGUCGGGGGAUGACGGUACCGGAAGAAUAAGCACCGGCUAACUACGUGCCAGCAGCCGCGRGUAAUACA